rnacentral:misc_RNA from 1 species
CCGAGUGAGGGCCCUCUGGGUCCGACCUCCCACCCGUGUUUAUCGUACCUUGUUGCUUCGGCGGGCCCGCCGCAAGGCCGCCGGGGGGCUUCUGCCCCCGGGCCCGUGUCCGCCGAAGACACCCGUGAACGCUGUAUGAAGAUUGCAGUCUGAGCGAUUAGCUAAAUCGGUUA